UACAGAGGGGGGCGAGCGUUUGUUCGGAAUUACUGGGCGUAAAGGGCUCGUAGGCGGCCAACUAAGUCAGACGUGAAAUCCCUAGGCUCAACCUAGGAACUGCGUCUGAUACUGGAUGGCUUGAGAUUGGGAGAGGGAUGCGGAAUUCCAGGUGUAGCGGUGAAAUGCGUAGAUAUCUGGAGGAACACCGGUGGCGAAGGCGGCAUCCUGGACCGAUACUGACGCUGAGGAGCGAAAGCCAGGGGAGCAAAGCGGG
rnacentral:rRNA from 1 species